CCAAAAGAUGGUUCAUCAGCCCACCUGAAGGCUGAAACAUUGAGACAUCAUAUGUUGAGACUGUUUCCUCCUCUUCCAGAUUAAGGGAGACAAAACUCUGGAUAGAUUCCUGUUCUUUGUAGCUGACUUUCUCACCCCUGUUGGACAACCUUCCUCCAUUCCUCCAUCCUCAUUUGUUAUGAGAAUAACACAUUUUUUUCUCCAUCAAAGAACAUGA
rnacentral:lncRNA from 1 species